GUAGCAUUCGCUGCUCCAUGCUGGCCCUAUACACUUGUGCUCCUUUACGUCGGCGUUAAACAUUUUGCCUCCAAUCAAGCAUGUUGCCUUGCACAGGAAGCCUACACAGAGUGGACUCCCAGAGGUAUUUCCCCAACACUUUUUUUCUGCAACGAAUUAACAUGCGUGUUUAUAUCCAUGAAGAACUUACAGUCGAAGAGAAAAAAUAAUAAUAGUCGGAAGAAUAGAAUUGAUGCGGUUUCUUCAUGAAUUAUUUGCCGAUUAUCAUCCGUCUGAACCGAAUGAGACAAAAGAAGAGCACAAACCUGCAGAACCAUGAUUCGCGAAUAACACAAGGAUCAGCACAAAGCAGAUGGUAGCAUUUCUCGCACCCAUAAUCGAUGGUGUUGGGCGAAGUAUCAAGUAUACUCUCUCUUUUCUGUUCUUUCUCUAGUUAGUUUUGAUAUGGAGCAAGUACUGUUAUGCCAGAGAGAUUAUGCAAUAUUUAUAGACUUGGAAGAAAAAGAUUUGUAUAGGAGAGGACAAACAUGUUUAAUAACUUCCUUUUUUGAAAAGGAGGUAAAAUAUGUUUAAUACUCCCUCCUCCCAAAAUUAUUGUUUUAGAUUUGUCUAAAUACGGAUGUAUCAAGUCACGUUUUAGUAUUAGAUACAUCCGUAUCUAAGCAAAUCUAAGACAAGAAUUUUGGGGCGGAGGAAGUAACUUCUUUUUUUGAAAGUCUCAAAAUUCUUGUCUUAAAUUUGUCUAAAUACGGAUGUAUCAAGUCACGUUUUAGUAUUAGAUACAUCUGUAUCUAGGCAAAUCUAAGACAAGAAUUUUGGGACGGAUGGAGUAUCUUUUUUUUUUUGACAAGGAGAUAAACAUAUGUUUAAUAACUUCUAUUUUUGAAAAGGAGGUAAAAAUAUGUUUAAUAACUUCUUUUGUUGAAAAUGAGGUAAAAUAUAUAUGUCCAACAACUUGAUAGAUAUGCAAUAUGUUGGUCUGUAAGAAUACCAAGGAGAAAAAAAAUUCUCCUAGACCCUUUCUUUCUCUUAAAAACUUCCGUAAACUUUUAGAGGAAGUUUCUUCAGAGCUACUUUUGUCAGAUCCUGCAAACUUCUUCCUCUAAAUCUGUUUAUUUUAUUUCAUUUUAUUUUCCACUAAAUAAAACUAGAUAAUGGCCUAGGGCCUGCCAGUCAGUGACAUGGGUGUCAGCCUUCGGCGAGGGAGUGCAGUGGCCGUCGGUGAGAGGCGGUGUGGUGACCGGGAGCUGCGCAUGGGCGGGGCGUGUAGUGGCGUAGCGGCUGCAUUCUCGCGGGACGGCGGCGUGUUGGCGGGUUGGCGGUGCGUCGGAAAGUUGCAAGCAGUUUCUAGCCCACCAAAAGCUUACCAGAGGAAAGUUUGGGCCAAGUUUACACGAUCCUCUAAAUUUAUUCCACAUUUCUGGGAUCUGUUGGAAGCUUGUAGAUGCUCUAAAGCUGGGGGGGAGGGGGGGCUCCUAUUCUACGAUGUAUGCGGGGAGUAGCAACGAGACGCACACUCACUUGUCCGUUUGUUUCACUUUGUUUCACUUUGUUAUUUGUUUUACUUUUCCGUUUUUUCUUCUUUAUGAAAGUUUGGAUUUUUUAAAAAGUCCUGAAUUUGAACUCAAAUAAUUUUCAUGAUUUUUUUAAAUUUGAAGAACAUUUUUGAAUAUCACGAAUAUGUUUUUUAACUCAUGAACAUUUUUAAUAUGAUAAAUAAUUUUAAAAUUGAUGAAUUUUAUUUGAAUUUUAUGAACAGUUUUUUAAUUAAAAUUGAUGAAGAUUUUUUGAAUUUGAUGGAUACUUUUUAAAUUUGGUGAACGAAAUAUAUUCGUGAUUUCAAAAAAAAUCAUAGAUUUUAAAAAAGUAUUCACGAAAAGAGAAGAAAAUAAAAAGGAAAAAAUAAAACAAAACAGAAAAUAAAAACGAACAUGAAAAAAUGUAUAAAAAGAAAAUCUAUUAAACGCACCUGAGAAGACCUGGAAUCUUACUGGCUAGCGGCACAUAGGUUGCUGUACUAGCUAGCGCAUGUAUGAUCCUCACUUCUGCAUCUUAAAUUUGAAGAUGGUUUCUCCUAUGCUCAACAUAAUUUUUAUAACCCCGUAAAAAACAUAUUUUUAAUAAACGCGUGUCAUCAAAUGUUUGUGGACACAUCCAUACAUAUCCAUGCAAAAAAAAAAUCCAUACAUAUCCAUGGAGAGCCGUGCAGGCACCGAUCAUCCAAUCAUAUUUUCCAAAUGUCAGUCUAAUGGAGAAAAGAGAGAAGGGAGCGGGAUGAAAAAAUGUAUUUGUGAUGUGGUCCAAGGCUGAGUUGGCGCGUCCGCGGCGUGUUUGGACUCCCCCAAUCACUCCUAGGUUUGGUCUUUUUUUUUCGAACAUCUCCUAGGUUUGGUCCUGAUUUGUGGGAUUUGGGAUGUGAGGACUGCCUGACCCACUGUCCACGGAUAUUUGGCGACUCUCUUUUGUAUGUGAGAAAAACUUUCGAUUUAUUCAUCUUCAAUCAUGAAGUACAAUGAGCACUAGAAAUUAUAAAAAUUACAUCCAGUUUUGUAAACCACCUAGCGACGACUACAAACACUGAGGUGAGUCGAAGGCACGCCGCAGUCAUCGCUCCUCCCUCACUGAAGCGGGGCAAAACUUGUUGUAGUAGGCAGUUGGAAAGUCGUCGUGCUAAGACCCAUAGGACCAACGCACCAGAACGGCAACCACUGCCGAUGAAGAGUGGCGUAGAUCAGAAGGAUCCAACCUGAAGACACGCGAAUAUAGAUGAACGACGACCAGAUCCGAGCAAAUCCACCAAAGACAGAUCCGCCGGAGACACACCUCCACACGCCCACCGACGAUACUAGGCGCACCACCGGAAUGGGGACUAGGCGGGGAGACCUUUAUUCCAUCUUCAAGGAGCCGCCGCUGUCUCGCCUUCCUGAGCAGAACACAAACCCUAACAAAACUCGAAGAAACAUCUAAAAACGGUGUCCUCCCACCCGCAAGGAUAGGGAUCCAUCUCACCCGCAUGGCCCUAAGGCCACCGGAGACAAGGCGGAUCAACGCUGGCGGGAGUCGGAGGAACCCUCGAAUUUUUUUUGGAAGGCGACGGCUACAACAUGAGGAUAUUUGGUGACUCUCGUUGGAUGGUAAAAAGUGUUCGGACCAUCCAGUCCAGAUAUUUAUGGGCGAUUUGGUGAUCUAUAUGGAGUUGCCCUAGGUUCCCAAGAUUUGAAGUCUCCUGGUGUGUAAGGAGCUACGGGCCUCGUCUGUAAGGGGGUGUGUCGCCGGGUCGGUCAUUUUUUUGGGGUUUUGGCCAAUUAUUGUCUGAUUUUUGUUUUUUCUUUAUUUUAUGUGUUUUCAUUGGUUUUAACUUUUUGUUGUGUUUUUCUAUUUUCACUUUUCACAUUUAAUUCAUGAGAAGUUUCUCAAUUUCAUGAAUAAUUUUGAAGUCCUUGAACAUUUAAAAUUUGCAAACAAUGUUUAAAAUCAAUGAAUAUUUUCAAAAUUCAUUAACAUUUUUUUUCAGAAUUCAUGUAUUUUCAAUAUGUUACAUUUUUAAAAUCCAAGCUUUGUUAAAAUACAUGAGCUUCUUUACAUAAAGGAAAUAUGGUAGCAGAUUUCAUUUGAGCUAGCAAUGGAGCGAGUCGGAAAAAAAACUAAGCAAGCGAGCUGAGCAGGUAGCUGAGCUGAGCGAGCGAGAUCUUCAUGGGCCGACCCAUGUAGGCGUUAUAGCAGCAAUUCCAUUGUUUCAAGGUGGAACAAGAGCUCUCAAAGGGCUCACACAAACACCACCAAUAUUUUUUUUGAAAGAUCCAGCAAGUGCUAUCUUCAAUUAGAUUUAGCAGAAAGCAGUGGAAGAACAACAAGGGGAGGAUCUGAAGAUCAAAGAAAAAAAGUCAAUCCUAUUGGCUGCAGAACAAUACUACACACACGACAGAUAGUCAUCCACCCACAACAAGACAACGCAGCUCCGACUCUGGUGAAGAACUACGGAGAACUAGACAAGGCUCGCAUCAUGGAAGAUCACCGAACGAACUAGCUAUUGCCCGUCAUCGUAUGCCACCGGGCCCACACUGCAGCUUCGACUUUCCACGGACACGCUGGAGAAGAGCCGACUACCACGACUAAUGUCACGCCUCUGACAAUGCUCACCAUCAUCAUCAUUGCCACAUAAGCCUAACCGCCCUCAUUGCCACACGAUCAAGCAGAACGAACGACUUCCCCCACCUAUCACUGGUCCCUCUGGCAGUAAGAAGCUCCUGAAACGAUGCCUCAAGAGGUAUGACACACGUCGCCAUCAUCGUUUGAUCCUAGGGGAUCAAGGGUUUCCCCCGAGCUUCCUUGCGUAGUGGAGCUCACACGCCACCUCAAUGAGGCCUUCAAUAAGGAAGCGAAUGCCCACGAGCAUCACCCCAUUGGCCACGGCCACUGCCGGAAACAAGGCCUUAGCCCAGCACUACGCAACUGCCUCCCACCCAAUCAAAUACCGGUUAGACCUUCGUCACCAUCCCCGCCCGACAGCGUGGGUGGUGCUCGAGGGGGUCUGAUUUUCAAGAAUGAAAUAUCAAGGAUAAGAAUGAAAACCCAAACACCACCAGGUAACACCAAGACCGAAACGUGCGUAUAAGGACACCACAACCACACACCUAAUGACUCCACUCUUCUUUCCGAAAAAUACCAUCUCCAACAACAACCUAAUAUGAUAUAACGAAUGAGAAAAAAAAAUACCGCCAAACAUAAUUAAAAAUAACAUGGAAUUGUCUCAGAUCAAUGCUAACAAUAGAUCGGCAUGGCCGAUUGUUUAGACCUCCACUAAGACAACGCAGCACCGACUCUCAGAUCAAUGCUAACAAUGGAUUAGCAUAUCAUAUACAUUCACGAUUACAAAUCAAUGGACAUUUUUUGUCGGGAUAACAAUGCACUUGUUUACAAAAUUCAUAUCAUCACAACAUCGACGAGAAUAAAUUAUUCAGGCACUUUAUAUGCUAAACCAAGAAAUUACAAACUAGUGCCCAUGUUUCUUUGACCAUUUGUGCUAACAAACUAUUUGUCGCAGAGAUAGCAGUAGCAUUGGCUAUUGAAUGAUGACCCUAUGCACUUGUGUUCCUUGACGACAGCAUUAAACAUUUUGCCCGCAAUCGAGCAUGUCGCCUGGCAUAGAAAGCCUACACAGAGUGGACUGCCAGAGGUAUUUUCCCAGCAUUUUUGUUCUGCAACGAAUUAACACACAUGUUCAUAUCCAUGAAGAACUUAUAACCGAAGAAAAACCAAUAGAAUUGCUGCAGAUUCUCCAUGAAUUAUUUGCCGAUUAUCAUCGGUCUGAACAGAACGAGACGAAGAGAAGAGCACAAACCUGCAGA
rnacentral:lncRNA from 1 species